GACGAACGCUGGCGGCGUGCUUAACACAUGCAAGUCGAACGGAAAGGCCCUGCUUUUGUGGGGUGCUCGAGUGGCGAACGGGUGAGUAACACGUGAGUAACCUGCCCUUGUCAUUGGGAUAACUUCAGGGAACUGGGGAUCAUACCGGAUAGAAGCUCCUGCUGCAUGGUGGGGGUUGGAAAGUUUCGGCGGUUGGGGCUGUACUCGCGGGUUAUCAGCUUGAUGGGGGGGUAGUGGCUUACCAAGGCUUUGACGGGUAGCCUGCCUGAGAGGGUGAGCGGCCACCUUGGGACUGAGAUACGGCCCAGACUCCUACGGGAGGCAGCAGUGGGGAAUAUUGCACAAUGGGCGGAAGCCUGAUGCAGCAACGCCGCGUGCGGGAUGACGGCCUUCGGGUUGUAAACCGCUUUCGCCUGUGACGAAGCGUGAGUGACGGUAAUGGGUAAAGAAGCACCGGCUAACUACGUG
rnacentral:rRNA from 1 species